rnacentral:tRNA from 1 species
UACAAAGCGGUGUAGGGGCACAAAGAAUUUUGAUUUCUUAGGAGAGGCUCAUUAACCUCCUGG